GGCUAGCGUUGUUCGGAAUUACUGGGCGUAAAGCGAACGUAGGCGGUGUUCCAUGUCAGAGGUGAAAGCCUGGGGCUCAACUCCAGAAUUGCCUUUGAAACGGGGACGCUUGAGUCCGAGAGAGGGUGGCGGAAUUCCUAGUGUAGAGGUGAAAUUCGUAGAUAUUAGGAAGAACACCAGUGGCGAAGGCGGCCACCUGGCUCGGUACUGACGCUCAGGUUCGAAAGCGUGGGGAGCAAACAGG
rnacentral:rRNA from 1 species